GUCUUCGCUGCUCUUUCGCCACGCGGUGUUUCAAACGUUCUCCUUUUACUCAGGUGUAUGGCCGACGGUGAAGAAAUCUCUGUUCGCCAUAUUGAUGAUUCUGCACUUGGCACAAAGUGUGGUGAUAUACGUUCCCAAAGUGUCAGCAAACAUGGUACAGAAUCAAGGAUAUUGUAUAUAUCAAAUACACAAGUUUAAUGGCAAGAAUUAUCAGCUGUGCAUUUUUAAAAUGCAAAUGGAAAUAUGCAUGAGUAAAAACGAACCAGAGCUUUAUAUACUUGGUACAGUGCAACGACCAGCAAUUCACCCAGAAGCUUUGGAUAAGAAGAAUAAGGCAGCUAAGGUAUCCGUGAUACGUGGUUUGAAAAUCGAAAAGUUCAAAUAUACGAGUCGAGACAGUCGAGAAAUUGUCCGGGUAUCUAAUCAAAGAGGGAAACCUGUUGAGUCAAAGGUCAGGUGACAUUCAACAACAACAACAACAACAAACCUCAGAGGCUCAAAGUCGGCAGUGGAACGGGAAUAACAGCAACACAAGGGAACUAAAAACUUUCAAUAAGAAUAGCUACCAGCAAGGAAAAGGACAAUAAAACUAGCGGACCAUAAAGGUCAGACAAAAGUGACUUAGUAGUGGUGGACGAUGUCGAGUCAGUGAUUGUGAUUAAAAACGUAAAUGACGCGAUAUCCAAAAUCCUUUUUUGACUAAGGAUGUGUGUAUGUUAUUUUUCAAAGUAUAAAACUGAAGUUCUGCAAUAUCUACAAGAAUUCUAUGCAGAAGUUCAAAGCAUGCGAAGUAUUUCAAGAGUCUCAAGCUGGACAAUCCAAAUCUAAAUCCAAGAAUCCACGUCUCCCCAAAAAAGUGAAGAAGAUAAUGAAGAAGAAGUGCAGGAAUGGUCAACGCAGAGCCGCCGGUAACUCUUCAGGAAGCUUUGGAAGCAGAUGAUGAAGAAAAACGACACCAGGCUGUAGAAGCUGAAUUAAAAUCUCUAGAGGAUAACCAGACCUGGAUGCUUGUACCUUGACCUGAUAACGCGAUUGUAAUCUGAAAUCGCGUUAUUUUGCACGCUAACGAGACGUGAAAUUACGGAAGGAAGAGGGUGAUAUAUUUUUCGCUGCAUUUGCAGAACAUUUGGAAUGACGAUGAUUAUUAUCGUAUCACAUACAGGUGAACGUAUAUAUAUAUAUCUAUAUAUAUAUAUAUAUAAAGGGAGGGGGGGGGGGGGGGGGGAUAUACGCAGGCCAGCAUCAGCACUUUAGAGAAUCCUCGCUGAGACUGCGCGUCGCUUUUUCAGCUCCGUAAAUCAAUUUUCUCCCGAAUUUUCUGGAUUAUUUUAACACCCCUCGCCACCUAUAUACAUAUAAUAUUAUAUAUAUACAUUUAAAAUACUGUCAACGGUGAAAGCCUUUCAAUUAAUUCAUAUCUCGACGCGAUAUUCAAAUAUACGAGACAUGGAAAUGAUGUUAUUUUAUUAUUUGAGUGAAAAACUUAUAAAAGCACUUUUUUUUUUGAUUAUUUAUUAUUAUACCAGAGUUGUUCUCGAUUUUCUCCCGAGCUUCUUGUUCACACACCCAACCGCGUCUGAUAGUUGAUUAAGAAUUCGAAUUUCUUAUGAUAACUUGGGUUUGAAAAUGAAUAUAUAUGUAGCUUAAUGGUAAAAACGUUUAGAUUCGUUUUUAACA